CAGGAAGUGGAACCGAAGUGACUGUACAAGAUCCACCACCCGGGUUUUCACCAGGUGAAAUAGCUGGCAUUACCAUCGGCUCCAUUGCUGGAGUGGCUGCUAUCGGCGGGUGGCAUUUUUGGAGUCCUGAAGUUCACUGGGAAAAUCUAAGGCGGUCAACUGCCUCCUCAGACAACAAAUGUUUUGCAGAAAUUAUGUUUUCCUUCUUAUAGUGCCAAAAAAUUAAUGUAAACUCAUAAUUCCUUAA